GGCUAAAACAGUCAGGAGGUUGGCUUAGAAGCAGCCAUCCUUUAAAGAAAGCGUAAUAGCUCACUGAUCGAGUCGUCCUGCGCGGAAGAUGUAACGGGGCUAAGCCAGUCACCGAAGCUGCGGAUGCGUGCAUUCCUUUAAGUGCACCUUGCUUGUCGAUGCGCAGCAUCGACAAAGCGCCCAACAGAGAUCGUUGGGAGGCAAGUGAAGUGGAUUUAAAGGAGUGCACGCAUGGUAGGAGAGCGUUCUGUAAGCCUGUGAAGGUGUCUUGUAAAGGAUGCUGGAGGUAUCAGAAGUGCGAAUGCUGACAUGAGUAGCGAUAAAGGGGGUGAAAAGCCCCCUCGCCGUAAGCCCAA
rnacentral:rRNA from 1 species